rnacentral:lncRNA from 1 species
AGAAGUAGUAGUAGUAGGUGGUACAGUUGAACUGGAGGCUGCUGUUGUAAUGGAUGUUUGAGAAGAUUCAGUGGUUGUAGCCAAGGUGGGUCCAGUGGAAGAUCCAGAAAUAGUAGUAGUAGGUGGUUCAGUUCAAGUGGAGGCUGCUGUUGUAAUGGAUUCUUGAGAAGAUUCAGUGGUUGUAGCCAAGGUGGGUCCAGUGGAAGAUCCAGAAAUAGUAGUAGGUGGAUAAGUAGUAGAAGGUAGUUCUGUGGAUGUCAGGGUUGCAGUUUUAGUUGGUGUUUGAGUUGAGGCAGUAAUGGUGGCUGAUGUGGUUGGAAGAACAGUGGGAAUUCCAGCAAUAGUAGUAAGUGGUUCAGUUGAAGUGGGGGCUGUUGUUGCAGUAGAUGUUUCAGUUGAGACAGUAGUUUUGUCUGAUAUGGUUGGAAGAAUAGUGGAAGUUCCAACAGUAGUAGGUGAUUCAGUUGAAGUGGGGGCUGCUGUUGUAGUGGAUGUUUGAGGUGAGGCAGUAGUGAUGGCUGAUAUGGAUAGAAAAACAGUGGAAAUUCCAACAGUAGUAGUAGGUGGUGGUUCAGUUGAAGAGGGAGAUGCUGUUGUAGUGGCUGUUUGAGUAGAUGCUGGUGGCUAAUGUGCUUGUAAGUGCAGUGGAUGUGCUAGCAGAAGUAGUAGGUAGUUCUGUUGAAGUAGAUGCUGUUAUUGCAGUGUAUGUUUGAAUUGGGGAUAUACUUAUUUCUGAUUUUGUUGUAAGGACAGUAGUACUUUCAACAGUAUUAGCAGGUGGUUCUAUUGAAGUGCUAGUGUAGUGAAUGUUUCAGUUGAGGGAGCAGUGGUCACUGAUGUGAUUGUGACUUGAGUGGAAAUACUAGUAGUAGUGGCAGCUGAUUCAGUUGAAGUAGGGGUCGCUGUUGCAGUGGCUGUUUGAAUGGAGACUGUACUGGUGCCAGAUGUGGUUGUAGGUUCACUGGACAUGCUAGUAGUAAUUUUUUUGAUUCAGCUGUUGUAGCUGCUGUUGGAGUGGUAAGCUCAGUGGGUUCCGUAGUGAUAGUAUAUAUGGUUGUAGGUUGAGUGGAAGUACUUGCAGUUGUAGUAGCUGUUACAGUUGAAGUGAUGUCUGCUGUUGUAGUGGUCAGUUGAGUGGUGGCAGGUCUAGGAGACAGUGUGGUUAUAGCUUCAGUGCCCAUAGUAGUAGUAAGUUCAGUUAAGGUACUGGCUGCAGUGGUAGUGGUGGAUACAAUGAAAGCAUUAGUCAUGGCUAGUGUGUUUGUAUCCUCAGUGGAAGUGGUGGCAGUCAUUGUGGUAGUUUGUUCAGUCGAAGUUACCAUUGCUGUUGUAAUGGUGGGUUCAGUAAAAGUGAUAGUAGUGGC